UACGUAGGGUGCGAGCGUUGUCCGGAAUUACUGGGCGUAAAGAGCUCGUAGGUGGUUUGUCGCGUUGUUCGUGAAAACCGGGGGCUUAACCCUCGGCGUGCGGGCGAUACGGGCAGACUUGAGUACUGCAGGGGAGACUGGAAUUCCUGGUGUAGCGGUGGAAUGCGCAGAUAUCAGGAGGAACACCAGCGGCGAAGGCGGUGCUCUGGGCCGGAACUGACGCUGAGGAGCGAAAGCGUGGGGAGCGAACAGG
rnacentral:rRNA from 1 species